GACGAACGCUGGCGGCGUGCCUAAUACAUGCAAGUAGAACGCUGAAACUUGGUGCUUGCACCGAGCGGAUGAGUUGCGAACGGGUGAGUAACGCGUAGGUAACCUGCCUGGUAGCGGGGGAUAACUAUUGGAAACGAUAGCUAAUACCGCAUAAGAGUAGAUGUUGCAUGACAUUUGCUUAAAAGGUGCAAUUGCACCACUACCAGAUGGACCUGCGUUGUAUUAGCUAGUUGGUGGGGUAACGGCCCACCAAGGCGACGAUACAUAGCCGACCUGAGAGGGUGGUCGGCCAAACUGGGACUGGGACACGGCCCAGAAUCCUACGGGAGGCAGCAGUAGGGAAUCUUCGGCAAUGGACGGAAGGCUGACCGAGCAACGCCGCGUGAGGGAAGAAGGUUUUCGGAUCGUAAAGCUCUGUUGUAAGAGAAGAACGAGAGUGAGAGUGGAAAGUUCACACUGUGACGGUAUCUUACCAGAAAGGGACGGCUAACUACGUG
rnacentral:rRNA from 1 species